GGCCCUAUAGCUCAGUUGGUUAGAGCGCUGCCCUGUCACGGCAGAGGUCGCCGGUUCAAGUCUGGUUAGGGUCG
rnacentral:tRNA from 1 species